rfam:Jatropha curcas cultivar GZQX0401 scaffold1176_12, whole genome shotgun sequence.
AAGCUGUAAUGUGGGCACUUUCUCAAUAAGUCCUUAAAUCUCUCCCAAGCUUCAUAUAAACUUUCUUGAUCAUGAUGGACAAGGUCAUUAUCUCAUUGCGCAAUUUU